rnacentral:misc_RNA from 1 species
GAUGAAGAACGUAGCGAAAUGCGAUACGUAAUGUGAAUUGCAGAAUUCAGUGAAUCAUCGAGUCUUUGAACGCACAUUGCGCCCCCUGGAAUUCCGGGGGGCAUGCCUGUCCGAGCGUCAUUGCUGCCCUCAAGCACGGCUUGUGUGUUGGGCCUCCGUCCUCCUCCCGGGGGACGGGCCCGAAAGGCAGCGGCGGCACCGCGUCCGGUCCUCGAGCGUAUGGGGCUUCGUCACCCGCUCUUGUAGGCCCGGCCGGCGCUUGCCGACACAUCAAUCUUUUUUCCAGGUUGACCUCGGAUCAGGUAGGGAUACCCGCUGAACUUAAGCAUAUCAAUAAGCGGAGGA